UUUGAUGGCGACCGGCGCACGGGUGAGUAACACGUAUCCAACCUGCCGAUGACUCGGGGAUAGCCUUUCGAAAGAAAGAUUAAUACCCGAUGGCAUAGUUCUUCCGCAUGGUAGAACUAUUAAAGAAUUUCGGUCAUCGAUGGGGAUGCGUUCCAUUAGGUUGUUGGCGGGGUAACGGCCCACCAAGCCUUCGAUGGAUAGGGGUCCUGAGAGGAAGGUCCCCCACAUUGGAACUGAGACACGGUCCAA
rnacentral:rRNA from 1 species